ACACCACCCCUUCUGAAUCGGGGAGCCGGGAAUCUGCAUUUUAACAAGUCCCCCAGAAUAUUCUAAUGCACACUGAAGUGUGAGAAGCACAACUUGGAAACAUUUUUUUACUCAUCCAACCAACAAAUAUCUUCAGAGUGUUCCCUCCCUUGACACCGUUGGACCCCUGUCUCCUGCAGCCAAGAAAAAGUCAGCUCUCCCCAGGCAGCUUCUCUCCCUCUUCAGGUCUCAACUGCAAUUUCAUCUCCUCAGCGGCGCCCUUUCCAAAAUAGUUGCCCCUUCCAGGCCCUCUCCACCACAUCCCCUCACUUAGCUCCUUUUGGCCUUUACCACGGGCACAAACUAGCUCAUUCGUAUAUUUGUUUUACUCAUCGCUGUGUCUCCCCCUCUAGAAUAUAAGGUCCCUCAGCCGAGGCAAGGGCCUGAUGAACCGAGAUCACCCCUCCAUCCCCAGUGUUGCUGGCAAAUAACAGGCUCAAUGAAUCUUUGUUGGGUGAUGAAUGAGGCCACUUCUCACAAUGGGACAAUGGGGCAGGCGCCUGUUGGAGAAAAAGGGCAUUUGAAACGAGGGAAGGUGUAGGUGGCGGAAGCCCCCGAGCCCCGAAGACCCAGCGCGGCUGGCUGCCAGCCCCUCUCCAGGGACGCUGGCCCGUGAAAGGCAGACAGGAAGAGAGACCAAGAGAGCUCACAAACGGGGCGUCCUCCCACCUGAGUUGUUCUCUGCCGGUGCCAGCCCUGACAUCAGCCCGAAAGCUUGCCACGCUGGUUCAGACCCGACCCCAAAGGCCGCCCCUGACCCGGCCCCGGCUCGCCAACCACCCCCAGAAUGCAGGCUGUGGUGCUGCUGCUGGAGGGGGCGCCGGUGGAUGAGACCUGAGGUCUCCCAGACCCGCUAGCCUGGGGGCCUGGGGAAUCCAGCUUGACGGAAAGGUGGGUAGAGACGGAAGGUUCGGGGCUCUCCAAGCCAUAAGGAGCCUGGCUCCCAAACAGGACUCAGAGACACUGAGCUUUCUCUCAGGUUAAACUCUAAGGGGUUCAGUUCCAGAGAGCAGAUCGCUGGUGCCACGGCUGGGCUGCAACUUUGCACAUCAGGGCCUUCAGGACCCAGGCAGGGAUGUAAAUAAGUCUGACCAGGCUUAAGAAGUUGGGGGGGGGGGCACUGAGGUCAAAGGGCCAAUACAGGUCCUGCCUAUGAGAGGCAAAUUUUCAGACUGUGCACACAGGUUUAUGGGCUAAACUGGGCCCAGCGG
rnacentral:lncRNA from 1 species